rnacentral:rRNA from 1 species
UGACCUACGGGGGGCAGCAGUGAGGAAUAUUGGUCAAUGGACGAGAGUCUGAACCAGCCAAGUAGCGUGAAGGAUGACUGCCCUAUGGGUUGUAAACUUCUUUUAUAUGGGAAUAAAGUUUUCCACGUGUGGAAUUUUGUAUGUACCAUAUGAAUAUGGAUCGGCUAACUCCGUGCCUGCAGCCGCGGUAAUACGGAGGAUCCGAGCGUUAUCCGGAUUUAUUGGGUUUAAAGGCAGCGUAGGUGGAUUGUUAAGUCAGUUGUGCUAGUUUUCGGCUCAACCGUAAAAUUGCAGUUGACACUGGG